rnacentral:rRNA from 1 species
GAUUUACUGAGAAGGAGUUAGAAAUCGAGAAAUAGAUUAAUUAUAUUUUAGUACCUUUUGUAUCAGGAAUUAUUAAAUUAUUUGAAUAUUUAGGUUUUCGAGAUUAGGUGAGUUAAGUUAGAGAUCUGUUUUUGUUGAAUUACAAAAUUAAGUUUAAUUUAGUAAAGAUAUUUAUACGGACCUAGUUAUAUCUGGUUAUUAAAUAAAACUUUAGGUUUUACUUACGGUAAGGUUAAUAUUAAAGGUUGGUCUUUUAUUAUAGACAUAACUUAUAAAAAUGAUAUGAAUUAGGCUUUAGAUUAGUUAUAUUUAUACAGUGUUUUAACGAGGUUUUGUAUAAUUAAUUAGGUUUGUAACUAGUUUUAUGUGAGUUAGUUGAAUUAUCACAAAAAUACUGAUAAUAUUAGUAUAUAUUAUAUGUAUAGUAAAUUAACUCGGCCAUUUUUUAUUGAAUGUUUAACAAAAACAUUUCUUUAAUAAGUUUAAGGUAGGGCCUGCCCAGUGCUUAUAAACGGCCGCAGUAUUUUGACUGUGCUAAGGUAGCAUAAUCAUUUGCUUUUUAAUUGAUAGCUGGAAUGAAAGGUUGCACAAUGAAAAUCUUUAUAACUGUAGUGAUAUAAUUUGUAGUUUAAGUAAAAAUACUUAAAUAAAUUAGAGGGACGAUAAGACCCUAGAAGCUUUAAUUUUAAUUAGUAGUUGUUAUAUUAUGAUGGAUGUUGGCUGGGGUAGUAGUAUUAUUGAUAUUAAUAUUUAUAAAAAUUUAAAAGAUUUAUGGUUCUUUAAAUAAGGAUAAAUUGGUUCAGUUACUCUAGGGAUAACAGCGUGAUAAUUUUGGAGAGUUCUUAUUGAUAAAAUUGAUUACGACCUCGAUGUUGAAUUAAGAUUUUUUGUGAGGUAAAAGGUGCAAUAAAGGGUUUGUUCAACCUUUAGUUUUUUACAUGAUUUGAGUUCAGACCGGUUUAAGCCAGGUUGGUUUCUAUCUUCUAUUAGCUUGUUAGGUUAAAUUAGUACGAAAGGGUCAUUUAGCAGUUUUAU